rnacentral:rRNA from 1 species
AUACGUAGGGAGCAAGCGUUAUCCGGAAUUACUGGGUGUAAAGGGAGUGUAGGCGGGAUUACAAGUCAGAUGUGAAAACUGUGUGCUCAACUCACAGAUUGCAAUUGAAACUGUAGUUCUUGAGUGAAGUAGAGGUAAGUGGAAUUCCUAGUGUAGCGGUGAAAUGCGUAGAUAUUAGGAGGAACAUCAGUGGCGAAGACGACUUACUGGGCUUUAACUGACGCUGAGGCUCGAAAGCGUGGGGAGC